AGUUAUUAUUUCUCUCUCAGAAAAAAAUUCUCUCCCUUCUCUCUAAAAACACAAAACUAAAAACCAUUAUUUUGAGGAGGUGGUUUUGGCUUUUGGCCGGAAAACCACCUCCUCCACUCCUUUUUCUUUUUUCACCUUCACUUCUUAAUAAAAUUUAGUUAGUUUAACCAAUGGGAGUUGGUCCAAGUGGUAAGCGGCUUGAUUCGCUUAAGCAAGGUUUCGGGUUCGAGUCCUUGUGAAUGCAGAAAAAUCCCACUGGCAGACUCACCCACCAUGCCAGGUGCGCGACGCGGGUCGGAUCCGGAUUAGUCAGGGAGAAGUCUUGGAAACCGGAUGGACUUACCAAAAAAUAAAAUUAAUCUAUCUUGUUGGAUUCAUAUUGAAGAUGCGGAUGGAGGCUAAGGAGCAAGCGGUUUCACGAUAUAAUUGAAUGGGUUUGAUGAAUUAAGAUCCCGCGUCUCGGACAAAGCGCCGUGUUUAAGUUUUGCGGAAUUCGGCUUGAUUUACUCUUUUUCGAUUAAUCUUUUGCUUGUUUUUUUAUAACUCCAUAUGUAUUUUGUUGGUAGAUUAGAGUUUUGAAAGUUUAUAUGGUUAGUUGUGUAUAACUUUCAUUUUAUACUUUAAUCCCAUCUAUGAAUCUAUCUUGAAAAAAAAAAACUUUUUUAGUUAUUGAUUUGAAA